rnacentral:lncRNA from 1 species
UAUAAGCAUGGAAUUGAGCUUUUGGCACAACAAUGGCAACAGACAAUCGGACAUGAUGAGAGGCACUUUACAUCUGAAUGAAUAUACGUUUUUUGUAUGUAAUUUGUUUGCACUAUUAAUUAAAGCUUGAAAUAUGAAAAAUCUUUUGCUUCAACCUGGUGUAUGUAUGUAUACAUGUGCUUUUCAUGUAUGAAUAUGUUUGAGUGUCUGCUCUGCUCAUUUAUAUAAAUAUAUUCGUUUGUGUAGCUAGGUAUUUAUUCCCUUAUUUAUAUCUAUCCCUCAUUCUCUCUCUAUAUACGUAUACAUCUGAAUUUGCAAGUAUGUGUGUGUGCAUGCAUGCAUGUGUGUGUAUGUGCAUGUCUCUAUGUAUAUACAUUUAUGCAUAUUAUGAAUAUGUGCAUAUCUCAUUGUGUAUGUGUGUGUGUGUAUGAAUAUUUAUAUGGGUAUAUUUAUGCAUAUAUGUAUGUAUGUGUAUAUUCUUUUAUUCUUUUACUCAUUUCAGUCAUUUGACUGCGGCCAUGUUGGAGCACUGCCUUUUAUUCGAGGAAAUCAACCCCUGGACAUAUUCUUUGUAAGCCUAUUCUAUCAGUCGAUUUUGCCAAACUGCUAAGUUAUGAGGAUAUAAACACACCAACAUCAGUUGUCAAGUGAUGGUGGGGGAACAAACACAGACACAAACACACAAAUACACACACA